AACGAACGCUGGCGGCAGGCCUAACACAUGCAAGUCGAACGCCCUAGCAAUAGGGAGUGGCAGACGGGUGAGUAACACGUGGGAACCUUCCCAAUAGUACGGAAUAGCCCAGGGAAACUUGGAGUAAUACCGUAUACGCCCGAAAGGGGAAAGAUUUAUCGCUAUUGGAUGGGCCCGCGUCGGAUUAGCUAGUUGGUGAGGUAACGGCUCACCAAGGCGACGAUCCGUAGCUGGUUUGAGAGAACGACCAGCCACACUGGGACUGAGACACGGCCCAGACUCCUACGGGAGGCAGCAGUGGGGAAUCUUGGACAAUGGGCGCAAGCCUGAUCCAGCCAUGCCGCGUGAGUGACGAAGGUCUUCGGAUUGUAAAGCUCUUUUGGCGGGGACGAUAAUGACGGUACCCGCAGAAUAAGCCCCGGCUAACUUCGUGCCAGCCGCCGCCGUAAAAC
rnacentral:rRNA from 1 species